GCUUAGCUCAGUUGGUAGAGCAUAAGACUCUUAAUCUCAGGCUCAUGGGUUCAAGCCCCAUGUUGGACA